GAACAGAGACCUCUAAUCUCUG
rnacentral:snRNA from 1 species